rnacentral:rRNA from 1 species
UACGUAGGGUGCGAGCGUUGUCCGGAAUUAUUGGGCGUAAAGGGCUCGUAGGCGGUUUGUCGCGUCGGGAGUGAAAUCCACUGGCUUAACUGGUGGCUGCUUUCGAUACGGGCAGACUGGAGGUAUGCAGGGGAGAACGGAAUUCCUGGUGUAGCGGUGAAAUGCGUAGAUAUCGAGAGGAACACCUGCGGCGAAGGCGGGUGCUGGGCUGACACUGACGCUGAGGCGCGAAAGCUAGGGGAGCGAACGGG